rnacentral:rRNA from 1 species
GAGAAAGUAAAUAUUUUUGGUUAACAGUUAUAUUGUGAUUUUCUUUAAAAUUAAUUAUUAUUAGGUGAAAUUUUAAGGUUAUUAUAAAGGAUAUACAUUGAAGCUGUGAAAUUUAAUUUAUAAACAAGGAUUAGAUACCCUUCUAUUUUAAAUGUAAAUAUUAACCUGGGUAGUAAUAGUUAUGUUCUUGAAACCCAAAGAAUUUGGCGGUAUUUUAUUCCUUUUAGAGGAACCUGUCCUGUAAUUGAUAGUCCACGAGGUUGAAGUACUUAUUUUUGUUUCCAUUUUGUAUACCUCCGUCAUAAGAGUAUCUUUUUAGAGUAAAUAUUCUAUUAAUACAAAAUAUAAUAUGUCAGGUCAAGGUGCAAUUUAUGAAUAAGUAGAGAUGGGUUACAAUAAAAUUAUUUAUAUGGAUUAUUAUUUUUAAUUGAUAUUAUGAAGGUGGAUUUAAAAGUAAAAUUAUUUUCUUAAUAAUUUGAUUUUGGCUCUAAAAUAUGCACACAUCGCCCGUCGCUCUUAUUUUAAAAUAAGAUAAGUCGUAACAUAGUAGGAGUACCGGAAGGUGUUCCUAGAAAGU